AAAGACGCGCCGCCACUGUUCAAAUGCCCAAAAACCUUCCAGCCAUUGUGAAAGGCCUUCCCUGCAAUUCUUGUAGAUUUUUGGGGUUUAUUUUGUAUUUUCAAAAUUGUAAUUUAUUAUGAGUUUUGCUUCUUUUUUUUUUAACAUGUAAAAGAUGAUAUAUGAGAAAAACAUAGUAAAAAGUGAUGUGUAAGUGUGUGUUUGUAUUUUUAUUCAUGUUAUUGAAUUAUAAAAAUAAAAAAGAUAGAAUUAAUUGUUUAAUUUGAAUAUGGUUAAAUAUUUUAGGAUAAAUAAAAUCAUGUU
rnacentral:lncRNA from 1 species